GGCUGCCCCCUUCCCCGCUGCCUCCUCGCCUCCCACCCCGUCUCCACCGAGGCCCCCGCGAAACAGGAAAAGUGGGGGAAGGAGGAAAAGGAGCGGUUGAACCGAGGGCGGAGUUGAUCGGGCCGCCGGCCCCGGACAGAAGGAGCGCUCUUGGUCAAUCCUAGCUCCGCGUGGGUCCGGAGCUCAGAGCUUGAGAAAGCGGGAAGUCAAGCCCAGGAUCCCUCUUGCAGGCCUACCCCGGGGUCCAGGGCUCACGGAACCAAGGGCCAUCCGUCUGGACCUGUUCCGAGUUCACCAGCGGGACAGCCUAGCUGAUCUGGGUGGCCCAGCUGUGCAAGAUGACAUGGGACCCAGGCUAGCUUUUGGAGCCUGGAUUUGCAGCCCUGAGACUUGGUGGCUUCUCUUUUAAGAGCUCGGGCCUAGUCGUCUGGCUGCAGUAAAGUAGCAAUCCACAGUAGGGUGACAGCUGGCAGGAUCUUCUAGAGAGUCUUAUAGGGCGGACUCCUAAUGCCAAUACUAGACACAGGAGGAUGGCGAGAUCUGGGAAUAACCAAACUAACCCAGCAAAGGCUUGCUGUAACUGAGAGGGCAGGGCAGGGCCAGCUGCUGUCUUUCCCCCUAGUGUGUGACUUUGUAGUAAAACCUUUCAAAAUCUAGGACAGAAGAAUGGAUAAAAUGAGUUUCGAGGGGCUCUUGGAAGGACCCCCUGGAUGUCAGUAUAGGGUUAAAGCAAAACCCACACCAGUGCUUACCUUGGGCUAGCUUCACAGAGAAUUUGAAUUUCCCAAAUACCAUGGUUGGUCCUGGGACUUCUGGCUACCCUACCUGGAAAUUUCUCCCUCUUCCAAAAGCUACCACUCCUCCAGAUAUCUGGGCAUGAGGCAGUUUCCCACUUCCCAGGACUGCCAUUUGAGUAAGAGGACUGCUAUAGCUCUUCUUUGAAGAAUGUAAAUUUGAAAAUCUGGACUUUUAAGUUCCAUCCCCUGUUGCCUGAUGUCUAUUCUCUGUUGGAUGAGACGUAAUUGUGCAUUUUCAUCUUCGUGUAAAUACAAUCAUGAAGGUGGCAAGAUAGAUUGAGAAGCUCAAGUCUUGAACACUGCUUGGCUUCACAUGUACAGGCUAGACUCCAGGAUGAUCAGUGGAUUACCAGGUGGUGAUGUCUCUUUCUGUUGUCAAAGAACCAGAGACAACUGAAAUCUUCCUAGAUGGGGCUGGGGAGAAAAAAAGUCCAUGCAGGAGGCUGAGGGAACCAGCAAUCAAUCUCCAGUGGCAGCGUGCAGAUACCUCGCAAUAUCACGGUGGCCCUGCUCUUCAGCCAAGUCUACCGGCAGGCGUCCCCAGGCGUCACACACAUCCAGCCGAGCCCCUGCCCGGUGGAGCACCACUAGCGUGUCCAGGAAGCCCUCCCGCGCUGCAUCAUGCACAGGUCUGGUAAGGGUGGCAGGGUCGGCGCAGUUGGGUUCUGCCCCGUGGAGCAGCAGCAACUCUGCCACCUGGGCGCUGCCCAUCAUCAUGACCUGAAGGGAAAAAUAAGGGAAAGACCUCAGAGGCAGGGGCAGCAAAGGUGCUUGCCAGCUUCAGUUGUCUGGUUUCUCACUUGCUUACACAAUCCACUCCCCACCCACUAUAGUGUAGACUGAACUCAACGUAUUUUAUUCUCCAAGGGUGAAGCAAUAAAAAAGGGCAGAGAAA